rnacentral:piRNA from 1 species
UCUCCACAGAUGCCUGGGCACCCUGUUCCCG